rnacentral:lncRNA from 1 species
AUGGUAGCAGAGAUAACCUUAUGUCUAACUGCAAUACUGGAAAAUAUGGCUGAUUCUGCGAGUAAAUCUAAGAAAAAAGAAGGAAAAAGAAGUAUAAUUCUCUCUGAAGAUGAAACCUGUGACAUUCCUGAAAUAUUAAUGAGAAGUCCUACAGAACAACUGCAGCUUGCUUAUGAAAAUCUUGAAAAAACAAUUAAUGAAAUGAACAAAUCUCGCUUAAUGUCCUUUCUACCGGAUGGAAAGUCAAUAUUUGACAACUGCUGUACAAAGGUAAAUUCUACAGAAAGCUGUAUUGCAACUAAAUCUAGAAAUAAUAUAUUGGAUUUUUUUUUUGUC